UACGGGAGGCAGCAGUGGGGAAUAUUGCACAAUGGGCGAAAGCCUGAUGCAGCUAUGCCGCGUGUAUGAAGAAGGCCUUAGGGUUGUAAAGUACUUUCAUCGGGGAGGAAAAACAAAACUAAUAAUUUUAUUUCUUGACGUUACCCGAAAAAGAAGCACCGGCUAACUCCGUGCCAGCAGCCGCGGUAAUACGGAGGGUGCUAGCGUUAAUCAGAAUUACUGGGCGUAAAGAGCACGUAGGUGGUUUUUUUAAGUCAGAUGUGAAAUCCCUGGGCUUAACCUAGGAACUGCAUUUUGAAACUGAAAUACUAGAGUAUCGUAGAGGGAGGUAGAAUUCUAGGUGUAGCGGUGAAAUGCGUAGAUAUCUGGAGGAAUACCUGUGGCGAAAGCGGCCUCCUAAACGAAUACUGACACUGAGGGUGCGAAAGCGUGGGGAGCAAACGAGGGAUUAGAU
rnacentral:rRNA from 1 species